GACAGAGGAUGCAAGCGUUAUCCGGAAUGAUUGGGCGUAAAGCGUCUGUAGGUGGCUUUUUAAGUCCGCCGUCAAAUCCCAGGGCUCAACCCUGGACAGGCGGUGGAAACUACCAAGCUGGAGUACGGUAGGGGCAGAGGGAACUUCCGGUCGGAGCGGUGAAAUGCGUUGAGAGUCGAAAGGAACGCCCGUGGCGAAAGCGAGGUCCUGGACGUCAUCUGACGCUGAGACGCGAAAGCUACGGGGAGCGAACGGGAU
rnacentral:rRNA from 1 species